GAUGAACGCUGGCGGCGUGCCUAAUACAUGCAAGUCGAGCGGACGGACGAGGCGCUUGCUUUUCUGAUGUUAGCGGCGGACGGGUGAGUAACACGUGGAUAACCUCCCUAUAAGACUGGGAUAACUUCGGGAAACCGGCGAUAAUACCGGAUAAUAUUUUGAACCGCAUGGUUCAAAGGUGAAAGACGGUCUUUCUGUCUCUUCUCGAUGGAUCCGCGCUGCUUUAGCUAGUUGGUAAGGUAACGGCUUACCACGGCAACGAUGCAUAGCCGACCUGAGGGGGUGAUCGGCCAGCCUGGAAGGGAGACACGGUCCAGAGGCCCUGGGGAGGCAGCAGGAGGCAAUCGGCCGGAAGGGGCGGAAGCUUGACGGAGCAACGCGGCGUGAGUGAUGAGGGUCGUCGGAUGGUAAAUCUCGGUUAUUAGGUAAUAACAUAUUUGUAAGUAUCUGGGCACAUCUGUACGGGACCUAAUCAGAAAGGCACGGCUUACUUCCUU
rnacentral:rRNA from 1 species